AGAGUUUGAUCAGUGGCUCAGGACGAACGCUGGCGGCGUGCUUAACACAUGCAAGUCGAACGGUGACCCAGGGCUUGCCCUGGUGAUCAGUGGCGAACGGGUGAGUAACACGUGGGCAACCUGCCCCCGACUUCGGGAUAACUCCUCGAAAGAGGAGCUAAUACCGGAUACGACCACUUCGGACAUCCGAUGGUGGUGGAAAGUUUUCGGUCAGGGAUGGGCCCGCGGCCUAUCAGCUAGUUGGUGGGGUAAUGGCCUACCAAGGCGACGACGGGUAGCCGGCCUGAGAGGGCGACCGGCCACACUGGGACUGAGACACGGCCCAGACUCCUACGGGAGGCAGCAGUGGGGAAUAUUGCGCAAUGGGCGAAAGCCUGACGCAGCGACGCCGCGUGAGGGAUGAAGGCCUUCGGGUUGUAAACCUCUUUCAGCAGGGACGAAGCGAAAGUGACGGUACCUGCAGAAGAAGCACCGGCUAACUACGUG
rnacentral:rRNA from 1 species